rnacentral:lncRNA from 1 species
AACCUCAACCUAACCAUAAAGGCUAUGCUAACACUAUUUUGCUGCAAAGCGAAACUCAACACGAUGGGCCUAAAAUUCCAGAACCACCAAAAGAAAAUGUUAUGACUACCUCAGAAAAACAAAUAGAGGAACCUGUAGAACCUGAAAAACAAAGAGAGAAGGAUAUUAAGGAUAAGGAAGCAGUGAAUGAUAACCAAGAGAAUUGAACAUAUGUACCACCGACACCCUAUAUACCACUGAUUCCAUAUUCACAAAUACUUAAACAAACCAAACAAGACACCCAAUACAAGAAGUUUGUGAAAGUGAUCAAAAAACUUCACGUCGAGAUACCCUUCAUUGAAGUCAUUACCCAAAUACCAUCAUAUGCCAAAUUCCUAAAAGACAUCUUAACAUACAAGCACAAGCUCGAUGAUCCCAAACCAUUAGAAUGCAAUGCAAUUGCUGAAAACAAAUUAGCCAAGAAACAGAAAGAUCCUGGAAGCUUUUCUAUACCAUGUGUUCUAUGAAGACAUGUUAUAAACAAAUCAUUACUGGAUUUGGGAGCAAGCGUAAGUUUAAUGCCUUUAGUAGUUUGUAAAAGACUAAACCUAAGAGACAUGCAACCAACCAAGAUGUCCCUUCAACUGGAUGAUCAAUCAGUUAAGUACUCGAUAGGUAUAUUAGAAGAUAUCCCAAUUAGAAUCGAACAACUCUAUAUCCUUACUGACUUUGUUGUAAUGGAUAUUAAGGAGGACGAAGAAAUUCCUAUCCUUCUAGGUAGACAAUUCGUAUCAACUACUGAAGCCAUGAUAGAUGUAAAAAGAGGAAAAAUGACUUUCAAAGUAGGUGAUGAUAAGGUAGAGUUUAUCCUAUCCAAAUUUCUGAAAGCACCCUCCACGGAUGACUCUUAUUGUGCAAUUGAUAUCAUUGAUGAGUGUAUAAGAGAGUCGGAUAAGGAGGAACAUAUCGAGACAAUAAAACUACCCUCGCCGCCCAUAAUGGAAGAUGAUGGAUUUAAGUUAGUUACACCUUGCAUAUACGAUGACCUUAACGAAUGCUUAGAAAUUACCCCUGAUCAUAUGCCAAGCAUUAAGAGACCCGCAAUAUAGCUUAAGGAACUACCUAAGAACUUGAGAUACGAAAUUCUUGAUGAAGAACUCAACCGUCCAGUUAUAGUAAAUGCCAAUCUAAAUAGUGACGAAAGCAAUCAACUCUUAGAGGUCUUAAGAAAAUACCCUGCAGCUCUGGGUUAUACCAUCUCUGACUUAAAAGGAGUAAGUCCCUAUGCGUGCAUGCACCUAAUUAUGCUAAAGGAAGAUUUAAAACCCUCUAGAGAACACCAAAGAAGGAUAAAUCCUAUAAUGAGUGAUGUAGUCAAAAGAGAAGUAUUAAAACUUCUAGAUCCAGGACUCAUCUACCAAGUAUUCGAUAGUAAAUGGGUUAGUCAUGUGUAUGUAGUACCAAAGAAAGGAGGUGUCACGGCCGUACAAAAUGGGAGAGGAAAAUUGGUAGCCAAACACAUAGAAAGCGGAUGGCGCAUGAGCAUAAAUUAUAGGAGGCUAAACAAAGUAACCCGAAAGGAUUAUUCCCCCUUCCGUUUAUUGACCAAAUGCUAGAAUGUUUAGCUAGACACUCUUAUUUCUAUUACCUAGAUGGAUACUCCGGAUUUUUCCAAAUCCCUAUUCGCCAAGAUGGCCAAGAGAAAACAACAUUCACAUGUCCAUAUGGAACUUUCGCUUAUCGACGAAUGCCAUUCGGACUAUGUAACGCUUCUGCAACCUUCCAACGAUGCAUGAUGUCUAUAUUCGCAGAUUUCCUGGAUGAAAUCAUGGAAGUUUUCAUGGAUGACUUCUCGAUAUGUGGAUCCAAUUUUAAAAACUGUCUGGAUAACUUAUAGAGAAUUUUGGAAAGAUGCGUAUAAGUUAAUCUAGUACUAAAUUGGGAGAAAUGCCAUUUCAUGGUGACAUAAGGAAUAAUCCUAUGACACAUAGUAUCAAAAAGGGGAAUUGAGGUUGAUAAAUCUAAGAUAGAGAUAAUAGAGAUCCUUCAACCACCUAAAACAAUUAGAGAAACCCAAAGUUUUCUUGUUAGCAUCCCUCACAUCUAUUGUACUCGAUGGGAGCUGUUUAGUUAGUUUCAUACAAGAGUGUUAGCGUGAUAUCGUUUGUGAUCUUCUACUUAUCGGGUGAGAAAAGAGAAAGAAAGAAGGAAAAACUUAGGUUUUUUUUAAUAUUAAUGUGUCUGACAAGAUUUCACAAUCCUGCUCAUACGUAUCUUCAGGUGCUAUAAAGAACUCAAGGCAUACGUAGUUCUACUCAAAGAGAACUAAUGGUCAGAUUGCUUUUAAAGAGAGUGAUGCUUGGAUCAUAUUUGAGUGAUUAAACCUUUACUUGCUGCUCGCUCUUAGAGGUUGAAGUCUUUGUUUGUUUCGAGUUGAAAUGGAUAUAACAUACUCGUUUCUGAAAAUGGUUUUCAAAGUCGUGUAAGGGCGGAAAACAAGUAUGAUUUGUUUGAAUUGAUUUUAAGCGGAGACAGACAUCCAAGCAGGGAGCUCUACUGCAGUGCUCAAAUGCUCGAAAAGGAAGAGGCCUAAACCUAAUCACUCUCAUUUCAUCCAAAAGUUUGUUAAGAAGAUGUGUGGCAAAUUAGGUCAAAAUUUAUUAAUGAAAGACGAUUAUUCAGAUAGGGAGCUCUACUGCAAUGUCCAAAUAAUCGGGAAAUAGAAGGUCGAUACCAAAUCAAUCUUUUUCUUCUAUAAGAUAAAUGACCUAAUUAUGGUAGUUUAUUGUAUUUUAAUAUGGAAGACGAAUGUUUGAACAUGGAGCUCUACAACAGUAUCCUAACAUUCGAAAAAUAAGAAAGUCUAAACCUAAUCAGUUUCUUCCAUUUUUAUUGUGAAAAACUUUUAAAAACUGGGGGAUGACACGACGUUGGAUCAAGUGCCUGAAGUUGAUUUAUGAAAAGAAUUUGGAUGUGGCGGGGGCAGGAAAAUAUAAGUUUAAUUUGUUUUGAAUAUGUUUUAAAAUUUAAGAUGAUUAUUCAAACAGAGAGCUCUACAAUAGUGUUCAAAUAAUCAGAGACUGGGGAAGGUCUAAACACAGUCGGUCUUUUUCCUUCCAAUCUAUUAUUUAAGAAAAGAGUUUUUUUGAAAGCGUAAAACAACUUGACAUUGGAUCAAGUGUUUGAUUCAAUUUUGAAAGCUUUUGAAUUCAUACAUUUUUUUUAAUUUAAUCGAGACUUUUUAUGUGUAUUAUUACACUCUAAGUGUAUAUUCAUGAUUAUUUUCUAAUUUUGAAAUAUUUAAUCAAUUAAUCAAUCAAGAGAAUUAAUUAAUUGACUAAACAAAAAUAAGAAAAAUAAUAAAGUAAGUAAAAAAGAUUUGUGAAUAAACAAGAUUUGAGAACCAUUAACCACAUAAUCAAGUGAAUCAAAAUUACCUAACAAAAAUAAUAGAUUACCCAAACUCUAAGUAAUUAAAUUAACUAGUAUUAUUUUAGAGAGUAAAAAUUUAAAUAAUAAAAAAAAAACUACACAUUCAACAAUUAAAAUCUAAACCUUUUUUUUGUCUUGAAAAUUAUAGAUUAGACUUUUUUUCACUUAAACUAGUAACCAAUCACAUAUAAACAUGUGGACAAGUAUAUUAAAUUAAAAGAAAAAAAGCAUAAUAUAAUAGAAAUUAAAAAAAAAAAAAGGUUAAUGUGCAGUAGCAUGAACAUGAAAGCAUAUGAAGUAUAUGUAUAUGUAUAUAAUAUUACUAGAUCUACACUACCAAUGGUUGUAAUGCUAACAAUGAAAUCAUAUUCAACAUUGAAAGAAAAUCUAACCCUUUUUGUUAUGUUUUUAUUAAAAUGUUCAUCAUAAAAAACUAACUAGAAAAUAUCUCAUUCUUCAUAUUCAUAAUUUGCAAAAGAAAAAGUUCAACCGAUACGAUUUCUUCCAUAUACAACAAAACAGAACACAUGAAAAUCACAAUUCAAAGCAGCUUCACACCAACAUCUAAGAGAAAUAAAAGCUUUUACCUUUUCGUGAUGGUUGGACUAUGAAAGUUAACGUGAGAUAGGUUUUUGUGUUGAAAAGGGUGGAUCCGAGGUGGAUGGUGGAUGGUCGGAAAAGUUGUCAUGAGGAAGAAUGAUGAUGAUCCAUGAUGAUGGUAAGUUGAUGUAGAUUGUAGUCAGUGUUUUUUAUGGUGUUGAAGUGAGUGGAAGAGAGUUUGUGUUGAUGUUAGUUACUGAGUUUUUUCUUCAUGGUGAGGAAGAGCAUGAGUGGUAUUAAUAUGUGAUGUUUGGUUGAAAAGAAAAAGGAAAAGAAAUAAGGACAAAAUAUGUGUUUCUUGUGUGUCCACG